rnacentral:rRNA from 1 species
AUCGAACGCUGGCGGCAUGCCUAAUACAUGCAAGUCGAGCGAGCGGCGGACGGGUGCGUAAUGUUUGGGGACCGCCCGCUCGCUGGGGAUCACUACUCGCAACGGUAUCUAAUACCGCAUAUUAUUGGCUUACUCAUAUGGCAUUAGCUAGUAGGUGAGGUAAUGGCUCACCUAGUCGACGAGCACUAGCUGGUCUGAGAGGAUGAUCAGCCACACUGGGACUGAGACACGGCCCAGACUCCUACGGAGGCAGCGGUGGGGAAUAUUGCACAAUGGGCGCAAGCCUGAUGCAGCCAUGCCGCGUGUAUGAAGAAGGCCCUAGGGUUGUAAAGUACUUUCAGUCGGGAGGCGUUACCGACAGAGGAAGCACCGGCUAACUCCGUGCCAGCAGCCGCGGUAAUUC